UAUAUUAUAUUCAUAAUUCAGAAUUUUAAAUAAAAUUAUAGAAACCUGCCUGAACCCAUCAAUCAAGCUGACCAUCACUGCCUAUUAAUGUGAUGCAAUAGGAAGAUUACAGCACAGCCAAUGGAGUGUGUUUGCCAAAAUAAUUGUAAAUAGGAAUGGACUGUGAGCUCUCAGGAGCCCACUCCCACCCAUCUGUUGCUCAGGAUUGAUCUGCAGUCAAAGGCUGGAAGAAUUAAGAGUCCACAAUGACUAAUGUCUACAUGUACAGUGGAGUUUUCCAGAAGCUAAAUGAGUGAUAUAGCACAACAGGCUGACUGCAGAAACUGAUACGAGAAUCCAGCUGUCUUCUAUUAAGUUAUUCAGUUAAAAGUAUUGCAAAAAUGUAAAAACAGUGUUCCUCUUACUCUUCUUAAAACGUCUUGGUUAUUUGGAAAUAUUUAUUAUUUAUAAAAAUGUUACUUAUGUUGACAUGUUAUAGGAUUAUUAUUAUUUUAAAUUAGUAAACAUUGUUGGAAUGUGUAAUAUAGUAAAUAGCAGUAGAUAGAACACACAUAAAUCAAAAACUCUUUGGGAUCCUCAACAAUUUUUAAGAGUACAAAGGGGUCCUGAGACCGAAAAGACUGACAACCACUAAUUUAGAGAGCUAAGAUUACCAUACCAUGGAUGGUUGGGCAGGCUGUUAUGAGUACAAGGAUGCCAGGCCAAGGGGGUCACUGGGACUAAAAUCCCAUCUAUGCUCAUGCUCUGCUCAUCAAAACCACAGAGGGUACAUUUUUCUAAUUUGCAGAAAGGUCUAGUGGCCACCUUGGCAAUAAAAGACCAGAAGAAGCUAAGGAGUGAACACAAUUGCCUCAAAUGAAUCUACAGGUAUAGAAAUUAGAAUAGUGGUUGCCGCUGAGGGGAGAGGACAGACUGUAAAAGGACAUGAAUACUUUCUGAGUCGAUGGUAAUGUUCUGUCUUGACUGGGUUAGUUCAGAUGCAUACAUUUAAAAUUAUAUAACUGUACAUCCAAAAUCUGUGCCUUUCACUGUACAUAAUUACAGUGCAAUUUUUAAAAAGUGGGUUCCUUGGAGAUAGGGCAGGACUAGUACUUGCAUUUUAAAACUAAGUAUUACUUUGGUUAAACCCAAAAUUGAAUUUAUAAAAUUCUAUCAACAUCUAUUAUGUAAUAAGAAAUGUAUUUUUAUACAAAAAUGGACAUAGCUACUGAAUGCUAAGGAUUUUUAUGUGCAGGAACGAAUCCUCCCCAGAAUACCUUAGGGGAGGAGGUGUGCUUCAUCAAUGAUAUUGUUAUGUAACUGGUAUGCGAAGUAGGGAUAAGCAACAACAGUAACACAGGAGGUAAUAUUCCAAAAUAAGAAUGCUGAAGGGGGAAAGGGGGCACUUUAUAAUAGAUGGGGAUAAGGGAAAAUCAUUAACAUUUAAUGAGUUUCUAUGUACUAGAGGCUCUUAAUUCCAUCACAAGAACACUGUAAGGUUGGCACAACCAUUUUACAAAUGAGGACAACAGGCUUGUGAGGUUUCCUGACUUGUUCAAGUUGUUAUCAGAUCCAGGUAACAAUAUUAACCUUUGCCAGUAGGAUCUAAUACCAUCUGAAAAUAGCAUUAGGUUUGAGGUAUUAGUCCAUCAAAAACAAUACAAAAUUAGUA